GUGGUGGUGGCUCAAUGGUAGAGCACUUGCCUAGCAUGUGUGAGGCACUGGGUUCAAUCCUCACCACUACA
rnacentral:tRNA from 1 species